rnacentral:tRNA from 1 species
GGCCUCGUAGUUCAGUUGGCUAGAGCGUUGGCUUUACUAAAAGCCUUAUCCUCGCCGUUGUGGGUUCGAAUCCAACUGAGGCCG